GAUGAACGCUGGCGGCGUGCCUAAUACAUGCAAGUCGAGCGAAUGGAUUAAGAGCUUGCUCUUAUGAAGUUAGCGGCGGACGGGUGAGUAACACGUGGGUAACCUGCCCAUAAGACUGGGAUAACUCCGGGAAACCGGGGCUAAUACCGGAUAGUAUUUUGAACUGCAUGGUUCAAAAUUGAAAGGCGGCUUCGGCUGUCACUUAUGGAUGGACCCGCGACGCAUUAGCUAGUUGGUGAGGUAACGGCUCACCAAGGCAACGAUGCGUAGCCGACCUGGGAGGGUGAUCGGCCACACUGGGACUGAGACACGGCCCAGACUCCUACGGGAGGCAGCAGUAGGGAAUCUUCCGCAAUGGACGAAAGUCUGACGGAGCAACGCCGCGUGAGUGAUGAAGGCUUUCGGGUCGUAAAACUCUGUUGUUAGGGAAGAACAAGUGCUAGUUGAAUAAGCUGGCACCUUGACGGUACCUAACCAGAAAGCCACGGCUAACUACGUGCCAGCAGCCGCCGUAA
rnacentral:rRNA from 1 species